rnacentral:lncRNA from 1 species
UAGUGUUGACCCUCACUCGUUCAUUCUCAGUUCUAAAUACACCUUUUUCGAUUUUUUGGCCGUCAUUCAUAAGAAAAUGGAAAUAUUGUGGGAUACUUAAUACCCUUGCAAUCCCCAAAAAGCAUUUAUCCCCUCUGCUGCAGGAUGAGGAAUAUAGAUAGUUUUCUCAUCGUUAUCUUCUGAAAAAUCGGGUAUUCCUAAUUACGAAGUUUUUUUAAAAUUUGCCACUUUAUUUUUGCUCUUUGAUAAUAUUGCUGAAUAAUUUAUUGAUUUAAUGCAUAUAAUUCUAUUUCCGGCACCCCUCAUCUACUGCUUGCGAUUGAACUUCCGUUUCCUGUCGGAUGGAGUUGAACUAGAGUUGAACCGGAAACAAAAAAAUGAACUGUUCAUCAAAACAAAACAUCGAACAUUACAGUCUUUAUAGGUUAUGUAAUGUCCUUAUCUUGGUUGGGCCACUACUCAUGGCCAUGUAAAUCUAGUUGGCAAAUAUCACAGCUUCACAAGUUUCAGUUGUUUAAUAAUUUUUAGUGUCCCUCGUGCUUGCUACUGUGCUAAGAAGAGAUCCUAGCAAAAUCAGCUACUUAACCAAGUGUAGAAUGUCCUGAGCUAAAAUGUCAUUUGGUGCCAGAACCACAAUUUAUGUCACUUCAACUCGCUGUACCUAUAUGUUCUACCUUGUUCGUCUGGAAGCUUUAAGUAAUCCAUAAACUUUUCUUCACUUUCAGUGCAGCUAGCAAAUCUCAACAUACGCGUACGGUACCCAAAUGUCUUUUCCGCAGGCUCAUCUCCACACAGACGAAUGUAAUGAAUUUGCAAAUGCAUAUUUCACUUGUAUCAACAAACAUGGCUAUAUCAAGUGGCUUGGACAUUGUGAAGACUACUACCUUAAGAUGAAGAAGUGUUUCAAAAAAGAGGUGUGUGCAAAAACAUUCUGAUUCUUGUUGAAAAUCAAGGAGUGAGAUAAAAAUGGUUGCAUAAAGUAUUGAGGUUUGCCAUUGCUCAGGACUUUUAUAAUUCUUGAGAGUGAGUUGAAGC